CUGUUCCCAAGAGUUCCCCUAACCACUUCAAUAUUAUGGAUUUUCACUUUUGUCAGAAUCUCUAGCUAUUCCUAUUCCUCCCCAUUGAAGUGUUUGGAGGAACUCCAGGAAUCAC
rfam:Glycine soja cultivar W05 scaffold1366_19, whole genome shotgun sequence.